rnacentral:lncRNA from 1 species
UUCCCCUCUGAUUUAAUUGUCAAAAAUCUAACAGCAAAAGAUAAUUCGGUGUGAUUAUUACAUCCGGGCCAUAAUGGUUUUUGGGCUGCAUCUAAUAGUUCGUAAAACCUUUGGGCUUCUAUGUUUGAAGUCUCAUUCAUACUUGGAGAGUCAUCCAUUUCUUGAUCAUGAUAUAUUUCAUACUCUAGACCAGCAACAUCAUAAACCAUGCUCUCAAAUCUAUUGAGGUAUCCUUCUUGUGUACUCAAAAUCUCAAGACUAGUAUCUAUGCAUAUGUUUGGGUCACUUUCUCCAUGACAUGUCCAAUACCAAUAUUCAGGAAUGAAUCCUUUCUUAUAAAGAUGAACUUUAACUUCUUCAAA